CCUGUGAAAGAAGAUGAGAUUGUCAUCUAUAUGUUUACUAGUCUAGAAUCUGUUUAUGAUCCACUUGUAACUGCUAUUAUGACAAGAUCGGAUCCCAUCAGGCUCACAAAUUUGUACUCACAAAUGCUCAGCUUUGAGA